AUUCAUCAGCUUUGAUGCCAAAGCUUCUAGUUUUGUUGUCCCCUAAAGACCUCUGUGUUAACAGCUCAGUCCCCAAAGUCUUAUGUUGACAGUUGGUGGAUUAUAAGUAAUGGUUAAUGGAUUAAGGGUGAGGACCUAAUCCAGUCGUGCUGUGUGAAGCUGCCAUCUUUGGAAGUGAUUCCAGUGGGCCAGGUUGCUGGGGUGGAGCCCCAUGACCGAAUCAGAGCGACGUCAUAAAGAAAAGCUGCACAGGCAGAGAUGGUGCUGUCACCAGGCGAUCUUUACCCUGCAUGUGCUUCCCAUUGUCCUGGCUCACCAGUGGAGCUGCACUCUUGGACUGUGAACUUACAAAUCUAUGGGCAGAAAUAAGCCCAUUUCCUUCAGAAGUGGCCGGAGCCAGGUGUUUUCAGUGAUGAAAAGUUGACUAAUACGAUAGAUAUACCUGACAUGACCUAGAUGUACUGGAUUUGAAUCUCCAGGGGCAGAACUCCACUUUCUGUUCCACAUCCUGCCUCCUCAACCCUCAAGAUGAACCCCGGAAAAGAGAGAGGAAUGAAUGAAAAGGAAAGGCCAAACGCCAAGAGGUCAUUCAGGCCAGAUUCACGUGGUCUUCAGAUGGAAAGACCUGAGGUAGCACCUGGCUGUUUUGCCCUGGCAAAGAGCACCAAGAUGGGAACGCGAGGAAGAAAACCGAGGAUGGACCCAGUACAAUGAACCCAGAACUGCUCAGAGGAUUCAUGGACCUAAGGAGCUUGUUGAAUGUAGCUGGAAGGAUUUUUCCCCUGGAGAGAAACACAGGCCAAGGUAACUUACUGGAGAAUAACGACUGAACGGCUUCCAGGGCAAAUCCUCAGCCGCAGGUGGAUCAAGUGUCUCACAGAGGUCAGAGGGCACCUCUGUCUCCCCCGUCUGUCCACCACCCUACAGGCGUCGCCCUCAGCACUGCUCACUCCAUGCAUGUGACGCUGGGUUUCAUGAGUGAAUCUGGGCUGUAAGUCACAGUUUUUGGUUAAAACUUACUCCUCAUGUAGGAUCUUUGUCCUUAGUGUGCUGUACAUUGAGAUUUAAUGCUAUAACUAGUACUCAAACAGUAUUUUUCACUUUAUGUUUCUGUGUGGGAGCAAACUGUUGAAAUCUUUACUUAAUGUAUGCUAAACUGAUCUUCUGUAUAGAAAGAGAAACGAAAAUGAAUCUUGAUGUGAAUGGAAGGGGAGAGGGAGUGGGAAAGGGGAGGGUUGCGGGUAGGAGGGACGUUAUGGGGGGGAAGCCAUUGUAGUCCAUAAGCUGUACUUUGGAAAUUUAUAUUCAUUAAAUAAAAGUUUAAAAAAAAAAAAACA
rnacentral:lncRNA from 1 species